AUGCUCUUUCCAAAUCAGCCCAGAUAUCCUUGAAUCUCAAUCAGCUCACGUGGGUUGUUCUGGCUUUUACUGAGAAGAGCCCUGGGGAGUUUUUCUAUGGAGACAGAUCUAUAGUACAGAAAAAUGUAUCCUGUUUGGUGGAAGCCUGCUGAGUCUAUUGGCAGAGGGAAGCCAUUGCAACUUAUGACAGCAUACAAGAUCCUAAAGCCCUGCAGCUCCCUGGAGCCAUCUUCUGGAGUAAACAGACCCUGCAACAUCAUCCACUUGCCUCCACCCCCUGCCAUAGCCCUCACCUGAGGAUGCUAUGGGGAACUGCAGGUCUCCGUCCUCCAGGCUGCUGCUGCCAGACCCCGAUACCUCCACACUUGUGUAGAAGCCCCUGCUCCCCAGGGCUCCUGCCAUCCUGCUGAACACCCUCUGCCCCUCCUAGGAAGGGAGCAGAGAAAGUCAUGUGUGUCUGCAAUGAUGGGUUCGCGGGAGACGGUCAGAUCCACUAGGGAAGCAUCUGCAUCUGCCUGGCUCACCACAUGGUAAAGCUAAUAAACAGUAACUAUUUCCCUGAAUGAACAAAUGAACGAUGAAUGAAUGAAUGUUAACACCUGCCCACUCCCCGUCGCGCGGUGAAUACUCAGGCAUCUAGCUUUAGAGCAGUAUUUCGCUCCAGCCCAAGAAGGGUGGCUUGAGUGCCCCGUGGAGGACACCGGAUGGCCGCCUCUGUGCACCUUCACUUCCUCCACUCCAAGGCCUUCCCUUUUCUCUCCCUUCAGGUGCCCACUCCUGUGCCACACCCUGUACCUUGUCAUCACCUGAAACUGCUCCGCCCGUGAAAUCUUGAAUACCAGUACCCCACUCUCUGACCCCACCUCCAUCCCCCACGCCUGCCUCCCACCACACCUUCCCCUUAACUCACACACCGCCUCUGCUCCCUCCC
rnacentral:lncRNA from 1 species